rnacentral:rRNA from 1 species
GACGAACGCUGGCGGCGUGCUUAACACAUGCAAGUCGAACGCUGAAGCUCAGCUUGCUGGGUGGAUGAGUGGCGAACGGGUGAGUAACACGUGAGUAACCUGCCCUCUUCUUUGGGAUAACGCCCGGAAACGGGUGCUAAUACUGGAUAUUCACUGAUUCUCGCAUGGGGGUUGGUGGAAAGGUUUUUUCUGGUGGGGGAUGGGCUCGCGGCCUAUCAGCUUGUUGGUGGGGUGAUGGCCUACCAAGGCUUUGACGGGUAGCCGGCCUGAGAGGGUGACCGGUAACAUUGGGACUGAGAUACGGCCCAGACUCCUACGGGAGGCAGCAGUGGGGAAUAUUGCACAAUGGGCGAAAGCCUGAUGCAGCGACGCCGCGUGAGGGAUGGAGGCCUUCGGGUUGUAAACCUCUUUCGCUCAUGGUCAAGCCGCAGCUUUGGGUUGUGGUGAGGGUAGUGGGUAAAGAAGCGCCGGCUAACUACGUG